rnacentral:rRNA from 1 species
CCUACGGGAGGCAGCAGUAGGGAAUUCUUCCGCAAUGGGCGAAAGCCUGACGGAGCAACGCCGCGUGAGUGAUGAAGGUCUUCGGAUCGCAAAACUCUGUUA